UUAAAUGGAGUAUUGGGAAUUUAAAAAAAAACAAAAAAAAGUGAAAGCUACAUUCUGCUUUCUUAGAAGUUACAACCUCGUAAUUGUCGGCAACAGAAAUAUCCAACUUCAUUGCAUCAUACUACUAUCUCAUCCACCAAAAAAAUCGCUAAUUCAUUCGAUUGAAAUCGGUUUCCAGUAUUUUUUUUUUUUUACUGAUCUUAUUCCACUCCAUUUCUUUUUGUGAUUAUCACAAUAGUUGAAGCAACAACGGUCAUCUAGAUCUACAAUGGGAUUAUCUACAAUCCAGACCAACUUCAUCAAAUUAGAGUAAUAUCAUUCAAUUGAUUAUGAUGAUUGUUGUUGUCUCAGCAAGAAAUAUAGCAUGGUGUCUGUAGAUUUCAAUUUUUGUUUCGAGUAAAGUUUUGGAUUUGAGAGGAAGGGCGUGGUGGUGCUUGAAGUUCUACAACGGGGUUUUUGAUGAGUAUGAGUUUGAGAAAUUUGUUGGAUAAAAAUGAUAUGUUGGAUCAGAAGUUCGGACUAAGAUUCACUAUGUUGGAACAGAAAUGAUAAGUGUCUACUAAUCAAAUUACCUAUUUUUCAUUCAAAUUGAUGCUCUUUUCUUUCCAAUCAUGCUAACAUAGGUUAAUCUUUGUAGAGAGAUAUAAAUGGGUUUUCUGCUGAAAAUAGUGAGUAGAAGUUGCGUCUGCGAACAAUGGAACAUCAAACUCACAAGAUGGUAACCGGAAGAAGAAAUAGCUUACGGCCAAAAUGAUGGAGCUGGUGGCUGAGAAGCAUGUCCAAAUUGUCAUAUCUGUUGAGAACGUUUGUUUGUUUGUCUGUUCUGUUCUGUUCUUUUUCGUCUGCUUUGACUAUGAGCUGACUGAAAAUCUCCAUUGAUCUGGGGAUCUUUCUUCUCAGCUUCAAUCUAUUAUUCUUCCUUUCAUCAGGUUCUGGACUAUAGGGAGAAGAUUGAACUCCUUGUGGAUAAGACCGAAAAUCUUCAGUUUCAAGUAUGCUUUCAAUUGUUACGAUCUGAAUUUGGUUGAUGUGACAUUCUUGUGGGACACAAGUUGCUACUUUGUUCUUGUCUACAAACAGGCUGAUAGUUUCCAGAGGCAAGGCAGGCAAUUGCGGCGGAAGAUGUGGUUUCAGAACAUUCAACUGAAAUUGAUUGUUAGAGGUUCUAUUAUCCUCUCCAUCGUCAUAGUGUGGCUAGUAGCAUGCUAGAGGGUUCAAAAUGUUGAUACUUGCUUAUAUGGAUAGAAAAUAAAGACUCGGUCUAAAAAUCCACAGUUGCAAAUUUUCAGUUACCUGAUCUUUACCCUUUUUUCCUUGUACAAAACUUGAAAAAAAUAGACAAAAGAAAGGAACCAAUAGCAACUUUUGUAUUCUGUAAAUGAAGAAUGGUGUUAACUACUAAAAUGUAUUGUUCCGGUGUCUUUCUGAAUUUUUUUAUUA